rnacentral:rRNA from 1 species
GUAGUCUCGCACAGAUGCAUAUCAAUAAGCGGAGGAAAAGAAACUAACAAGGAUUCCCCUAGUAACGGCGAGUGAAGCGGGAAGAGCUCAAAUUUGAAAUCUUAAAGGGUUUCCCUUUACGAAUUGUAGUUUAAAGAGGUGUUUUCUGUUGAGGUUUUGGUAAAAGUUCUUUGGAAUAGGACAUCAUAGAGGGUGAGAAUCCCGUAUUUGACCUUUACUUUCAACUUUGUGAUACACUUUCAAAGAGUCGGAAUUGUUUGGGAAUGCAGUCCAAAAUGGGUGGUAAAUUUCAUCUAAAGCUAAAUAUUGGCAAGAGACCGAUAGCGAACAAGUACCGUGAGGGAAAGAUGAAAAGAACUUUGAAAAGAGAGUUAAACAGUACGUGAAAUUGUCAAAAGGGAAGCGUUUGACACCAGUGUUGUUUUUCUGAAAAUCAAUUAAAGAACUGUUUAUGCUAAGUUGUUUAGACUUUAUCAGCUAUCUGCUUAGUUUUGAGCUUUUCUUUAAUGCACUUUUCAGUUAACAAGUCAACAUCAAUUUCUUUUGCUGUAAAAAAGCUUGAGGAAGGUGGCUUGAGAUUCGUCUUAAGUGUUUAUAGCCUCUCGCCUAUGCAGUCGGAGAGAUUGAGGUCUGCAGCGUAGAUCCUUCGGGGCUAAAUGCAUUUGUGCUAAGUUAUAGCAUUUUAUAGACAACUUGUUGACUAUGAUUUGUCUUGUAGCUUACUCGCUUAUGUUAUUUUACCUACGCUUAGGAUGUUGACGCAUGAGAUAUACGC